GAUGAACGCUGGCGGCGUGCCUAAUACAUGCAAGUCGAGCGAACAGACGAGGAGCUUGCUCCUCUGACGUUAGCGGCGUACGGGUGAGUAACACGUGGAUAACCUACCUAUAAGACUGGGAUAACCUCGGGAAACCGGAGCUAAUACCGGGUAAUAUAUUGAACCGCAUGCUUCCAUAGUGAAAGACGGUUUUGCUGUCACUUAUAGAUGGAUCCGCGCCGCAUUAGCUAGUUGGUAAGGUAACGGCUUACCAAGGCAACGAUGCGUAGCCGACCUGAGAGGGUGAAUGGACACACGGCAUGUGAGACACGGUCGCGACUCUGAGGCGGGGAAGCAGUAGGAAAUCCUACGGGAGGCGGCAAUGGCUGACGGUGCAAAGUCGGGUGAGGGAUGAUGGUCUUCGGAUGGUAAAACUAUGUAAUUAGGGAAGAUCAAAUGUGUAAGUAACAAUGAACGUCUUGACGGUACCUAAUUAGAAAGCCACGGCUAACUACGUG
rnacentral:rRNA from 1 species